rfam:Schistosoma margrebowiei strain Zambia genome assembly, scaffold: SMRZ_contig0000435
CUUCAGCUGACAAGUCCCAGAUAGGACGAAACGUACGUCCUAGAU